rnacentral:tRNA from 1 species
GGGGAUUUAGCUCAGUGGUAGAGCGCUUGCCUAGCAAGCACAAGGCCCUGGGUUCUGACCCCAGCUUCG